rnacentral:rRNA from 1 species
CACGCAGGCGGCGCGUUAAAUUAGGAGUGAAAGCCCUGGGCUCAACCUGGGAAUUGCUUUUAAGACUGGCGCGCUUGAAUCCGGAAGAGGGCAGUGGAAUUCCAAGUGUAGAGGUGAAAUUCGUAGAUAUUUGGAAGAACACCAGUGGCGAAGGCGACUGCCUGGUCCGGGAUUGACGCUCAUGUGCGAAAGCGUGGGGAGCAAACAGGAUUAGAUACCCUGGUAGUCCACGCUGUAAACUAUGAGUGCUAGUUGUUGGGGUGCAUGCACCUCAGUGACGCAGCUAACGCAUUAAGCACUCCGCCUGGGGAGUACGGCCGCAAGGUUAAA